GUUUGUGCCUUGGCUCGUUGCUCUACGCACCUUGCAAGGCAAUGAAAGAAACAAGGAUGUAAGAGGCCGGAUAGGUCAACAGAUCACAAGAAUCAACAGAGGAGUGGCAAGGAUGAAAAGGCUGAAAUUCCAGACUUCAAAACCCUGACCCGAGGAGGUAAUCAGCUGAUGGACCAGAGGCCUGAGAUGCAUCAUUGUACCAGAGAUAGACAGAAGCAAAUAAGCAGUAUAAAGCACAUAAAUGGUUAACCCAAAGACACAAUGUAAAACUGACUAACCUUCAAAAAAGGAGCAGGAAUGCAUUACUGGGAACUAGCUGAAGACAGGGGAGCCAAUGACAAGAGGCAUAUGUGCUGAGCCACCAAAUCACUAAGUGCAUUACCCACAGCCAAACAGAGAAAAUAAUUACUAAGCGUUUCAUUUUCCAAAUUAGUAAAUGGCUAUAGAAUGAUCUCACCUGUCACCUACCUCCCAAAUCAGUCACCUACAGGUUGCCCAGUGUUUUUGUGGAGGACAGUUGGCAACUCUAUUUGUAGAAGUUAAACACAUAGUAAAGCUCAGAUCAGUAAUGCAAAAAUGAUAUGCUCUAAUGAACCAUAGCAUAUAAAGUUAGUAUUAAAUUGGCCCUUUAAAUCUAACAAUGCAGAUCACUUGCCAGCAGGUCAGUACCUUUCUUGUGUCAGAAGACAUAACAUUCCCAUUAAUAACUUAACAAGUAACACACCACUGUGCUAGGUCUCUCCAGGAGAAAACACUUAGA